ACCUCCGAAGUCAAGCAUCAUUGGGCGCGGUCAGUACUUGGGAGGGUGACCACCUGGGAACACCGCGUGCCGUU